rnacentral:ncRNA from 1 species
CUGCCAAGUUUAGUGAAUAUCUAAUUAUCAGAUGCAAGUAAAAACAACUGAGAAGAACAAAAAACGCAACUAACAAAUGCGUACAAGCGCAAUGCGACAGCCGAUCCUAAACGGCAGCAUAACUGUGCUCAUUUCGGGGCAUUGCUGUCCUCGUCUUUCGCGAAAGGGAAUCAGGAUAAUAUUCCUGGUCCAGGACGUGGAUUAUGUACGGCAAUGUGAAAGAACUCCUCGACGCAGGCUGGUGCCCCGGGAAGCGUCGUAUUUGCUUUUUAACACCCUAACGUAAUGUUACAAACAUACCGUGAAAUCAGAUUAUGUGGAGAUAGGGUUGACUAGUUGGUAGAGCUUCCUGGGUUCCAGGGAGUCCACUGCUCCCCUGACUGCGCUUGAAGAGGAGGAAAGCUGUUAUUUGCACCCCUGGCCGUACAAUACACCGCAUCAGAUCUCCAAGGUUAGUAGCCUCUGUUCGAUAGGAGAAAGUAGAUAAGGAAAGUCGGUAAAAUGGAUCCCGUGACUUCUGAAAAAGGGUUUGUUCUGACAGCUGGGUGAAUAGCGCCAGCUCCCCCAGUGCCUGUGCAGCAUUCGUCUGGCUGGACCAGGCGCUGCGGCCUCAGUGCCCAGUGGCGCGUUUCCAGAGUUCAGGAAGGGAAAGAACGGCGUCUUUGUGGUUAUUUUACAUACUGACAACUCUGGCUGUGAACAGCUCAAUUAUUCUGUCUUCUGCGCCACCGCCACCAACAUCUGCCCACCCUGGCCGCCCCUCAGGGUUAAGAAAGUCGUUAUGCCUACUGAAAUCGAGACCGCCGCAUGCAGGACCAGAGAAAGCCAGCAUGCCGGCGUUAUUUCCUCCUCAAGGAACCGCUGCGGCGAAUUGUACAGACCUAAACUGUGUCUGAACGCAUGUCGACAACGAACACGCAGUAGUACAAGGUGGUAGAACGCAUGCGAAGCAAAAACAGAAGUCCGAAGACAGCAAUCAUUUUCAACAAGAACUUUGACAAGUGCAUCUAGUGGCGUUAAG